AGGAUUCCUACAGGAGCGACCUGAAAUCACAUGUGGGCUGCACCCUCCUGGGUUAUCUUGAGCAACAUGUGUUCUCAGGUCGCCCCUGCCGGGCUUUC
rnacentral:pre_miRNA from 13 species